CAAUAGCGUAUAUUAAAGUUGUUGCAGUUAGAACGCUCGUAGUCGGAUUUCGGGGCGGGCCGACCGGUCUGCCGAUGGGUAUGCACUGGCCGGCGCGUCCUUCCUCUCGGAGACCGUUCCUACUCUUAACUGAGCGGGAGCGGGAGACGGGACUUUUACUUUGAAAAAAUCAGAGUGUUUCAAGCAGGCAGCUCGCUCUUGCAUGGAUUAGCAUGGGAUAAUGAAAUAGGACUUUGGUGCUAUUUUGUUGGUUUCGAACACCGAAGUAAUGAUGAGAAGGGACGGUCAGGGGCACUCGUAUUCCGCCGAGAGAGGUGAAAUUCUCAGACCAGCGGAAGACGAACCACUGCGAAAGCAUUUGCCAGGGAUGUUUUCAUUA
rnacentral:rRNA from 1 species